rnacentral:rRNA from 1 species
UACGUAGGGUGCAAGCGUUAAUCGGAAUUACUGGGCGUAAAGCGUGCGCAGGCGGUUGUGCAAGACAGAUGUGAAAUCCCCGGGCCCAACCUGGGAAUGGCAUUUGUGACUGCACGGCUAGAGUGUGUCAGAGGGGGGUAGAAUUCCACGUGUAGCAGUGAAAUGCGUAGAUAUGUGGAGGAAUACCGAUGGCGAAGGCAGCCCCCUGGGAUAACACUGACGCUCAUGCACGAAAGCGUGGGGAGCAAACAGG